rnacentral:tmRNA from 1 species
GGGGCUGCACUGGUUUCGACGUGGGUUCGGACGCGGUGUGGUGCAUGUCGAGCUGAAUGCGCUCGUAAAACUGAUUCAAACAAACUAACUGCAAACGACGAACGUUUCGCACUCGCUGCUUAAUUGCCAGUGAGCUUUACAACAGCAGGCCGAUGGGCUGGGCAAGGGGUGUUUAGCGCAAGUUAAAUGCUCCCGGCUGUA